rnacentral:rRNA from 1 species
UACGUAGGUGGCAAGCGUUAUCCGGAUUUACUGGGUGUAAAGGGCGUGUAGGCGGGGAAGCAAGUCAGAUGUGAAAACCACGGGCUCAACCUGUGGCCUGCAUUUGAAACUGUUUUUCUUGAGUGCUGGAGAGGCAAUCGGAAUUCCGUGUGUAGCGGUGAAAUGCGUAGAUAUACGGAGGAACACCAGUGGCGAAGGCGGAUUGCUGGACAGUAACUGACGCUGAGGCGCGAAGGCGUGGGGAGCAAACAGG